rnacentral:rRNA from 1 species
CUACGGGAGGCUGCAGUGGGGAAUAUUGCACAAUGGGCGCAAGCCUGAUGCAGCCAUGCCGCGUGUGUGAAGAAGGCCUUCGGGUUGUAAAGCACUUUCAGCGGGGAGGAAGGCGUUAAGGUUAAUAACCUUGGCGAUUGACGUUACCCGCAGAAGAAGCACCGGCUAACUCCGUGCCAGCAGCCGCGGUAAUACGGAGGGUGCAAGCGUUGAUCGGAAUUACUGGGCGUAAAGCGCACGCAGGCGGUCUGUCAAGUCGGAUGUGAAAUCCCCGGGCUCAACCUGGGAACUGCAUUCGAAACUGGCAGGCUAGAGUCGUGUAGAGGGGGGUAGAAUUCCAGGUGUAGCGGUGAAAUGCGUAGAGAUCUGGAGGAAUACCGGUGGCGAAGGCGGCCCCCUGGACAAAGACUGACGCUCAGGUGCGAAAGCGUGGGGAGCAAACAGGAUUAGAUACCCGUGUAGUC